CUUCCUCAUUUCCACAGCCCCCGGAGGCAAAGGAAACCUGCUAUGGUCUGGUGGUAGAUUAACAAGGGCGGGGUUGCUUCCUACUUUAGGACAGUUUGACGCUUUAUGAAUUGUUUACGUUAUUUGUUGUUUCUUUCUUUGGAGGAAACAACAAUGAUAAGAAACCCCAUCGAUUCCGUAUUAUUUAAGAGUUACUUGACAACAAUUGACUUUGAAACGCUCGACAGUAAACAGCGCUCCUCAUAAAACUAUAAACUCUAACUCAACAUUAUUAAAAACAUACCCGAGUGUAGAUGAGCACAAGGUUUACGUCCCAAAGGGGGUGGUGUUGGUUAAAAGCACUAUCAUUCCAUCCAUCCGUUUUGAUCCGAGCGGGUUAACGUUUCCAUGAGGAGCCGGUCGAACCAUACUCCCCCCUGCACCAUGGUGAGUGUGUCGGCUGUCAACUUUGAGCAGCAGGCCAACCCUCCAGAAGCUAUUUGUCACAAGCUGGUGUUUCAUACUACCAUGACCUCCAAGUGUGUUUGCUGGGAAUUGGGCGCUCUGAGCCAACUGUGAUUGGAAAGCUGCAGAAGGAUGAGGAUGUGAUUAAGUUGUUGGCUGAAAGGACACAUCAACUUGGAUGAAAAGGAGAUGUAACUUUUACCUCAGGGCCAUUCCAUGCUUCUCGGACAGAUACUCAACCAUGUCCUUGGCGUUGCGGAAGUUUUUUUCCAGAGUGCACGGCUCUCCAUCACGCUUCCCUUUGCUGUGCUCAGAGCCAUAGAAGCAAUGUUGAGACUUGUCAUUUCAUGAAAUGUUGAUUUAUUCUGAUGAAUGGAAGCAAUAGAAAUGAUGAAUAACGACAGAAAAAAAAUACCUCCAUAGCGCACUUAUGAAGUCUGAUAAAGAAAACCUACCAUGUAUUGACUUGCAGCAGCAUCACUCCAUAUUGUCAGCCUUUUCGCUGUUAUUUUUGUGCUCAUCCUUGACAGUCUCUGUGUUUUAAACUCGUUGACCGUCUUGUGGUCGUGUUUGAUGUCAUCUGUCAUAAAGACGUGGGCCUCCCUGUCCACACUGUCCUACCCACAUGUAUAAUAGCAUCCUUCAGCAUAUCAUAUUUAUCCAGGUCAUUGUGCCUCAUUUUUCUACUCCAUUGUGUAGAUCUACUGUAUGUGGAAUGAUGACUUCUGAAAAGUGAUGCAGGCAAUAAUGUGAACAUCAAUGGAGAAUUCACAAUAAAAAGAUCGAAGCCUGGGACCUGGGAUUUAUAAUUUAAGCAUCCAAUGUAUCGAAUACAUCGAUAUCAUCCCAUAAUAAGCAAUACAAACCAGCAACACAGGUCGAAAAGGUAAUGAGGAUGCUGGUCAGUUAGCCUGCUAGGUCUGUACUGCAACGUACGUCAUUUUUCUGGCUGGCGCGAUAUUUCUUCUAACUUGUUGCGUGAUCAAGCAUGAGCAAAAUUAAAGACACACUGAUUUUAACUAGAUAUUAUGGCACACUUACCUUGUUUUGAUAAAAAAAAACUCUGUAGCAUGUAUCACCAAGUAUAAAGACACAGCUAUGAAUGUGUGCAACCAGGCUUUGUUUGGCUUUUAUAUCUUAAUGGUUAUUUCGCAUGGAGUGCGAGACGAAAUAGUGGGCAAAAGGAGUGGUUGAUAUUUUUUUUCAAAUAUUUUCUCUUUUUGAUUUUAAUUUUAAUUUUGAUCGAUUAUUCAUCAUUUGAAAUAUCGGAAAAAUGCGUCAGUAACAAAAAAAUCCAAUAAAUCGAUAGUAAAGAGGUACAUACCUGUGACCUAUUUGCAGACGCAAUUUUGUGACGUGAUUUGUUUAAAAGUUAAAAAUUCACCAGUGAAUAUCUUUAUAAAGUCGUUUUUUUACCCAAACCAAAUAGAAAUCAAUUUAUGACUUUAAGCUAAUAAUAAUUGAAAACCCAAUAAAUCGAUAGUAAAGAGGUAGAUACCGGUGACCUAUUUGCAGACGCAAUUUUGUGACGUGAUUUGUUUAAAAGAUAAAAAUUCACGAGUGAAUAUCUUCAUAAAGUCGGUUUUUUUUUUAUCCUAAACCAAAUAGAAAUCAAUUUAUGACUUUAAGCUAAAAAAUAAUUGAAAAUUUGAGUAAAUGGUAAAUGGUGUUAAACUUAUAUAGCGCUUUUCCACCUUUACUUAUUUUGUUUUUAUGGCUGGGUUUAACAAAAGCAGUUGCGAUGUGUCCGUAAACAGGGGUCUCAGGGGUAAAACGAACAAAUUAGAAAUAGUCUGGUGGUAUAUUGCGCGAUUAAACUGCUAUGAAACCCUCUAGACAUAUUGUUCUAUCAAACACAACAAAUCUUUCGUCUUAAAAUACAGUAGUUUAUUUAAAAGUCAGUUGCAGGAGUUUAAACUGCUUUUUCAGUCUUGUAUGUGUUUUCCGCCAUAGGUUGGAAGUCAUCGCUAACCAAUGAGUUAAAAGUCAACAAAAUUUGGUGCCAAUUCGGAUAACCGAGCCGCACCUACUGGUAACCUUCUAUGGCUGAAUGUAGAAUACUGAAAAUGUUAAUACGACUAUCAUGUCUUGGAGCUCAAACUCAACAUUAUGAAUUCUAACCACCUAACAUCCCCUCCAUAGACACAUUAGUAUACAGCAGUGCUUCUCAAUUAUUUUCUGUUAUGCCCCCCUCAGGAAGAUGCCAACGUUUCGUGCGGCUCCAACACUCUGUUGCCACUGUAAAUAGGCUAUAUAAAUUUGUAAUUUAAAAAAAAAUUUAAAAAAAGUAAAAGUGAAAAAAUAUAUAUAUAUAUUAUUAGGGCUGUCAAACGGUUAAAAUUUUUAAUCGAGCUAA